CUUACUUUGGUGAUCCACUCUUGGUCCUUCCAAAAUUUAUCAACGAUUCAUCGGAUUUCCCACCCAAAGAUAGGAAGACUGACCUCAAUAGGAGAGACCAUAUAAGGUGGGCUGGACUUUUGGCGUCCUUAACACUGAUUCUAGCUUUCUUAGUCUGCGGAGUUCUGCCAAUUGUAGUGUGGAUUUUAGGGAAAAGUCCACCAGACUCACCCGCAUAUCUCUUGCAAGAAACCAAAUACCGGCAUGACUUGGCAUCAAGUUCAGGCGGCUCAUCUCCAUGGUUGUCAGAUACGAUUAAGGUCAUCCGUUUGGACAAAACAACAUUCACUCAUGCUGACAUUUUGAAGGCAACAGGUAAUUUUUCAGAGAGCAGAAUCAUUGGGAAGGGAGGAUUUGGAACGGUGUAUCGAGGUUUAUUGCCUGAUGGAAUACAAGUAGCAGUUAAGAAGCUGCAAAGGGAAGGUACUGAAGCUGAAAGAGAGUUUCGAGCUGAAAUGGAAGUCCUAAGUGGGAAUGGCUUUGGCUGGCCACAUCCAAAUCUUGUAACACUUUAUGGGUGGUGCCUUGAUGGUUCAGAGAAAAUAUUGGUUUAUGAGUACAUGGAAGGUGGAAGCUUGGAGGAUCUUGUAUCGGAUAGAAUGAGGCUAACAUGGAGGAGACGUAUUGAUAUAGCGAUAGAUGUAGCGCAAGCAUUAGUAUUUCUGCACCAUGAGUGCUAUCCUGCAAUUGUGCACCGUGAUGUCAAGGCUAGUAAUGUUCUGCUAGACAAAGAUGGUAAGGCAAGAGUCACAGAUUUUGGACUAGCAAGAUUUGUUGAUGCUGGAGAUAGCCAUGUGAGCACAAUAGUGGCUGGGACGAUUUGGGUAUGUUGCACCAGAAUAUGGGCAAACUUGGCAAGCUACUACAAAAGGUGACGUAUACAGCUUUGGGGUAUUGACAAUGGAACUGGCAACAGGAAGGCGAGCUGUGGACGGUGGGGAAGAAUGUCUGGUAGAAUGGGCUAGACGGGUACUGGGAAAUGUGCAAAAUGAAGUAGGCAGAGCAGUGAUACCAGUUAUGCUUUUGGGGUCUGGAUUAGCAGAGGGAGCAGUGGAGAUGUGUGAGUUACUGAGGAUUGGAAUAAGAUGCACUGCAGAGGCACCCCAGGCUAGACCAAACAUGAAGGAGGUAGUAGCUAUGCUGAUAAAGAUUUCAGGCACCAGGAGGGAUUUCAUUUAUGGCUCUUCUCCUCCUCCCUUAUUCUAAUUUAAUGUUCAGAUGGAAAGAAAAGUGUCCAUAGGUUGUUAAAUUAUUUCCACACAGAUAUAUAUAGUAGACAGAUUUUCGUUUAUCUGAUCAUUCUUCUUGUAAACAAGCAUUUUUCAUUCACAGA
rnacentral:misc_RNA from 1 species